GUUCAAAGACAUCCUACCUACUCAGCCCAGCCAGAUCCAGAUGAAACGCCGGUGUCUUCCUGGUUAUCUCCUCAACACCCUUCCCCCAGCCUCCCCAGUUCACCCAGUGUUGUGAGGGUUUCCUCUGGAGUAUCAUCACAGUCAGAUCCCUCUUGCUAAUGCGCCCUCUGCUCAUGAAACCACAGGCACUGGAGGAAGAUGAAUAAAACCACACUGUGAGGGAGACAGUGGGAGAACGAGCUGGAAAACUAUGCAAAUCUGGCUCAUGUCAGCCAGCCAGUUUGCUGCAGGAUGCUACUUUUCAUCAUUUUUUAAAUUUUUUUAUUUUUAUUUUUUUAGUACUACUGCACCAUUUCUGUCUUAAGCACGUUAUAGUAACACUUCCACCAUCUUCUUUGCCAGCAUGAGAGUGGCAAGAAAUCAAAGCAUUCGCAUUAUUCCACUUGGUGAUUCUGUAAAUUUGGUGUGCCAGACAAUAGCCUGCUCAGAUGCUGUAGUUCACCAAGGUAUCUCCUGUCAUCUACAAUUGUCUGCAGCACCACAGGGCCACUGGGGAAAUCAAUAAUAGCAAGUCAACAUUUGUUUGCUUAUGGGUGUGUGAUUGUUUCACUUUGUAAGUGAUCUGUCUGAUGCAAAUAUCUUCCUAAUAUGUGAGCAACUCUGUGGUCCCUGACAGAAAAUGGAUUUGUCCUGUUGUCAUGGCUCUCCUGUGUCACAUGUGCACAAACACACCACAUUGUUCCACUGUAACUGUACACUCAAUGAGGUAUCCCAGCUUGUGUUCUACAUUGUUUGUGGUUGAUUGCUUAACCUGGGGACAUUUACUAACAGGGGAGAUGCUUCUGUGGUUGUGUAGCGAAUCUAAGGAUUUAUGUUGGAACGCUUGUGUGUGGUUCUCAAUAGAACUGAUGUGAUGUAUCAGACAUUCCAGUUACCCCCCAUGCAGUGUGUUUGUUUUGUGAAAUAAAGGGUAAUGUUUUCUGCUUGGUUGCUGACUUACUCUCCCACAGUUCGGUCUGUUGAUGCUUCAUUCCUGUCAUUUUUGAGUCCUGGUCAAUAUCGAGUCCCAUUCAUUGUCUGACGUCUGGCUUUUUAAUGCCUCUGUUUGUUACCUCAACCUUUUAUUUUCCAUUUUAGC